UACGAAGGACCCAAGCGUUAUCCGGAUUUAUUGGGUUUAAAGGGUGUGUAGGUGGCGCGGCUAAGUCGGGUGUGAAAUUCGUGCGUUAACUCCGAAACUGCAUUCGAUACUGCGUGCUUGAGGACUGGAGAGGAGACUGGAAUUUACGGUGUAGCGUGAAAUGCGUAGAUAUCGUAAGGAAGACCAGUGGCGAAGGCGGGUCUCUGGACAGUUCCUGACACUGAGACGAAGGCCAGGGGAGCAAACGGGG
rnacentral:rRNA from 1 species